GCAGAGGUGGUUCCGGGGUAGAAUUCUCACCCUCCAUGUGGGAGAUGUGGGUUCAAUUCCCGGCCAAUGCA
rnacentral:tRNA from 1 species